AUUGAACGCUGGCGGCAGGCCUAACACAUGCAAGUCGAACGGUAACAGGAAGCAGCUUGCUGCUUUGCUGACGAGUGGCGGACGGGUGAGUAAUGUCUGGGAAACUGCCCGAUGGAGGGGGAUAACUACUGGAAACGGUAGCUAAUACCGCAUAACGUCGCAAGACCAAAGAGGGGGACCUUAGGGCCUCUUGCCAUCGGAUGUGCCCAGAUGGGAUUAGCUAGUAGGUGGGGUAACGGCUCACCUAGGCGACGAUCCCUAGCUGGUCUGAGAGGAUGACCAGCCACACUGGAACUGAGACACGGUCCAGACUCCUACGGGAGGCAGCAGUGGGGAAUAUUGCACAAUGGGCGCAAGCCUGAUGCAGCCAUGCCGCGUGUAUGAAGAAGGCCUUCGGGUUGUAAAGGACUUUCAGCGGGGAGGAAGGGAGUAAAGUUAAUACCUUUGCUCAUUGACGUUACCCGCAGAAGAAGCACCGGCUAACUCCG
rnacentral:rRNA from 1 species